rnacentral:tRNA from 1 species
ACUUAAAUAGUUUAUUAUAUAAAAUAUUAAUUUGUGGGAUUAAAGAAAUUGUUAUAAUUUUAGGUA